rnacentral:rRNA from 1 species
AUUGAACGUUGGCGGCAGGCCUAACACAUGCAAGUCGAGCGGAAACGAAGAGGUGCUUGCACCUCUGGCGUCGAGCGGCGGACGGGUGAGUAAUGCUUGGGAAUAUGCCUUAUGGUGGGGGACAACAGUUGGAAACGACUGCUAAUACCGCAUGAUGUCUACGGACCAAAGUGGGGGACCUUCGGGCCUCACGCCAUAAGAUUAGCCCAAGUGGGAUUAGCUAGUUGGUGAGGUAAUGGCUCACCAAGGCGACGAUCCCUAGCUGGUUUGAGAGGAUGAUCAGCCACACUGGGACUGAGACACGGCCCAG